CUACGUGCCAGCAGCCGCGGUAAUACGUAGGGUGCGAGCGUUAAUCGGAAUUACUGGGCGUAAAGCGAGCGCAGACGGUUACUUAAGCAGGAUGUGAAAUCCCCGGGCUCAACCUGGGAACUGCGUUCUGAACUGGGUGACUAGAGUGUGUCAGAGGGAGGUAGAAUUCCACGUGUAGCAGUGAAAUGCGUAGAGAUGUGGAGGAAUACCGAUGGCGAAGGCAGCCUCCUGGGAUAACACUGACGUUCACGCUCGAAAGCGUGGGUAGCAAACAGGAUUAGAUACCCUGGUAGUCCACGCCCUAAACGAUGUCAAUUAGCUGUUGGGCAACUUGAUUGCUUAGUAGCGUAGCUAACGCGUGAAAUUGACCGCCUGGGGAGUACGGUCGCAAGAUUAAAACUCAAAGGAAUUGACGGGGACCCGCACAAGCGGUGGAUGAUGUGGAUUAAUUCGAUGCAACGCGAAGAACCUUACCUGGUCUUGACAU
rnacentral:rRNA from 1 species